AUGCAGCGCAUGGGCGACGCCGCGCUAAGGCCAGAGGAGGACUUCGUCAUCGUUCCGGCGACACCUGAGAUACAAGCGGAGGCAGUCGUCCUCACCUCCAACUGUGUUGUGGCCUGGCUGGAGGGGGCCAGGCAGGACAUCCCCUGCCACCAGGUGGCUGCCGAGCUCGCGACAGCCCUGGGCGCGAGACCGGCCGACGUCGAGGUUGUCAAGCACUACCCCGAGCAAUUUUUGGUGCGCUUCAUGCAUCAACACCACUGCGUCGACGCCGUGUCUCGUGGUGAUCUUCGUGGCAAUGGCCACCACAUCUUCAUGCGUGAGUGGAGGCCCGAGGCUCAUGCUGACAACGAAGACCAACUCCAUCAUGUCCGUCUCUGCUUGGAAGGCGUCCCCCUGCACGGCUGGAACCACUACAUCGCCACCUUCCUCAUCGGCCGAGGUUGCUCCCUCGACUACAUCGAGCCUCGUUUGCUCCACAAAGAGGACACAAGGGACAUGGCGCUUUGGGCUUGGACGUCCAACCCCAGUGCCAUCCCCAAGGUCAAAUGGCUCACUCUCCCGGACCGUGGUCACUGCCACCGCGGACGUUGA
rnacentral:rRNA from 1 species